rnacentral:lncRNA from 1 species
GUUCACCAAAUAUAGCUGAAAGUGUGAAAAUAACUACGAUCAUGAUGCGCAUUCGUCAAACGACGGACCUCGCACUCGCACUGACGGUCCUGGCCACAAGAAUCUACAGGUCGAGCAAGUCUCGUAAAUUUCACGAUUGCGAGCCACGCUUCACGCAACCGUGUUUGCGUACUUGUGUUUCGAGUUGCGUGGUCGUGCGGAGUUAUAUUUACCAAAUUUAAAUAUAAUCGUUUCUACUUCUACUGAGUUUGAGUAGGUCACAAUUAAAUCAAUAUGGCUACUGGGUGUAAAAGAUAAAUCUUAUUCUAUCUGUUCUUAAUGAGUUUUAGAUAAUUUUAGUUGUAUUUCUUUGUAAUUUUGUGUUGUACAAAGAUUAAUUUAACAUUUUCUCUGGAAGUAUUAAUUUAGAAAGAUAAUAUGCUUCAUUGGUGUUGUGUUUUGAAGUGUGAAAUGCAAAGUAAUUGUGAUAAAGUCAAGAUAAAGUUCACUUUUAAACUGAACUAAAUAAGGUAUCUGAGAGACAACAAUGGUUAAAUGCAAUACAAUGUACAGGUUUUACUAGCGAAAUGAAAUAUUUCCUGUCCUGUCUGCUGUAAUCAUUUUAUAUCUGGAAAACCAGCCGACUUAAUCGAUAAUAACAAUCUCCAGAUUGGGUUCCUUCAAUAAAUAUGGGCUAUUAACACAAUGAAAUAAGUUCCAGAAUAUCUAAAAUGGAGUGGUAUCAAAGGAGAAUUAAAGGAAAAAAUAUUCAUAUUGAAAUUAUUUAUAAGGCACUGGACUGUCUUAAAUUCUACAAUAAUACUAGAAUCAGCUGAGAGAAGUGGUCUACAAAAAACCAGGAAGGAAACGGAAUAUGUGGCUACGAAAAGCAAAAGAAAGGUUUACAAAGCAAAUGUGACACAUUUUUUUGAAAUAUUUAGGAAUAUCAGUAAAUUGCAUUAAAAAAAUGUAUGAAAAGAUUUUGUUCAAUAAAAAUGUUUAUAUUUAUCAAGGAUGUAUUAUUUGGUAUGGCCACAUAUCGUCAGUGAUGUAAUAAUACAUCCUAUCUGUUUUUUCAUGAGUUUUGUAAGAGAGACUAAAAACUUGUCUUAGGGUCACCUCCUGUUUUCAUAUGAUAUUUUUUGACUUGUUUUGUAGUAAAUUAAACUAUCUAUGAACUACAAAACAAGUCAAAACUUACAUAUGAACACAGGAGGUGACCUUAAAACAUGUUUUUCCAUCUCUCAUACAAAACUCAUGAAAAAACAGAUAGGAGGUAUUGUCACAUCAGCAAGGAUGUACAGUGAUGAGUGUCCUAAUAACCGGCAAAAUAUGGGCAACAUAUUUAGUUGUGAGAUAAAAAGAAAUGAAACUAGUCGAGCUGGGAAAUUUAGCGAAAUUAACCUUUAAAUUUACGUUAUAUUGAUCCCACCUUUACACAUAUCGGAGGAGUAUGUCAACUAAAACUGUCACUGUGACAGUGGUAGUUUCCAAACUCGUCUGAAGGUGGUACACAAUCAAUACAAUCUAAAUGUAUAAGUUAAUAUCGCUAAAUUUCCCAGCUCGACUAGUUUCAUUUCUUUUUAUCUCACUACUUAAUACGUUUUCCAUCUUUUGUGCUAUUUUGCAGGUUA